rnacentral:rRNA from 1 species
UAGCUGUUCAGAUUAGCCAUGCACGUCUAGUAUAAAUGGUAUACAAUGAAACUGCGAAUAGCUCAUUAAAACAGUUAUAGUUUAUUUGGUAAUCAAACUUACAUGGAUAACCGUGGUAAUUCUAGAGCUAAUACAUGCUGUUGUGCCCGACUCGCGAAGGGCCGUAUUUAUUAGAUAUCAGCCAACAAGCAUCUGCUAUUGUGGUGACUCAUAGUAACUUAAUCGGAUCGCAUGGGCUUGUCCCGCGACAAACCAUUCAAGUUUCUGCCCCAUCAUGCUUUCGAUGGUAGUGUAUUGGACUACCAUGGCUUUCACGGGUAACGGAGGAUUAGGGUUCGAUUCCGGAGAGGGAGCCUGAGAAACGGCUACCACUUCCACGGAAGGCAGCAGGCGCGUAAAUUACCCAAUCCUAAUUCAGGGAGGUAGUGACAAGAAAUAAUGGGUCGGUGCUACGCACCGGGACUGCAAUGAGACGAAUUUAGACCCCUUAUCGAGGACCA